rnacentral:rRNA from 1 species
AGUCGAGCGGUUGACGGGAGCUUGCUCCCUGAUUCAGCGGCGGACGGGUGAGUAAUGCCUAGGAAUCUGCCUAUUAGUGGGGGACAACGUUUCGAAAGGAACGCUAAUACCGCAUACGUCCUACGGGAGAAAGCAGGGGACCUUCGGGCCUUGCGCUAAUAGAUGAGCCUAGGUCGGAUUAGCUAGUUGGUGGGGUAAUGGCUCACCAAGGCGACGAUCCGUAACUGGUCUGAGAGGAUGAUCAGUCACACUGGAACUGAGACACGGUCCAGACUCCUACGGGAGGCAGCAGUGGGGAAUAUUGGACAAUGGGCGAAAGCCUGAUCCAGCCAUGCCGCGUGUGUGAAGAAGGUCUUCGGAUUGUAAAGCACUUUAAGUUGGGAGGAAGGGCAGUAAGUUAAUACCUUGCUGUUUUGACGUUACCGACAGAAUAAGCACCGGCUAACUCUGUGCCAGCAGCCGCGGUAAUACAGAGGGUGCAAGCGUUAAUCGGAAUUACUGGGCGUAAAGCGCGCG